ACGCUGAAGAGAGGAGCUUGCUCUUCUUGGAUGAGUUGCGAACGGGUGAGUAACGCGUAGGUAACCUGCCUUGUAGCGGGGGAUAACUAUUGGAAACGAUAGCUAAUACCGCAUAACAAUGGAUGACACAUGUCAUUUAUUUGAAAGGGGCAAUUGCUCCACUACAAGAUGGACCUGCGUUGUAUUAGCUAGUAGGUGAGGUAAUGGCUCACCUAGGCGACGAUACAUAGCCGACCUGAGAGGGUGAUCGGCCACACUGGGACUGAGACACGGCCCAGACUCCUACGGGAGGCAGCAGUAGGGAAUCUUCGGCAAUGGGGGCAACCCUGACCGAGCAACGCCGCGUGAGUGAAGAAGGUUUUCGGAUCGUAAAGCUCUGUUGUAAGUCAAGAACGGGUGUGAGAGUGGAAAGUUCACACUGUGACGGUAGCUUACCAGAAAGGGACGGCUAACUACGUGCCAGCAGCCGCGGUAAUACGUAGGUCCCGAGCGUUGUCCGGAUUUAUUGGGCGUAAAGCGAGCGCAGGCGGUUUGAUAAGUCUGAAGUUAAAGGCUGUGGCUCAACCAUAGUUCGCUUUGGAAACUGUCAAACUUGAGUGCAGAAGGGGAGAGUGGAAUUCCAUGUGUAGCGGUGAAAUGCGUAGAUAUAUGGAGGAACACCGGUGGCGAAAGCGGCUCUCUGGUCUGUAACUGACGCUGAGGCUCGAAAGCGUGGGGAGCGAACAGGAUUAGAUACCCUGGUAGUCCACGCCGUAAACGAUGAGUGCUAGGUGUUGGA
rnacentral:rRNA from 1 species